CCUACGGGUGGCAGCAGUCGGGAAUAUUGCGCAAUGGAGGAAACUCUGACGCAGUGACGCCGCGUGCAGGAAGAAGGUUUUCGGAUUGUAAACUGCUUUAGACAGGGAAGAAAAAAGACAGUACCUGUAGAAUAAGCUCCGGCUAACUACGUGCCAGCAGCCGCGGUAAUACGUAGGGAGCAAGCGUUAUCCGGAUUUAUUGGGUUUAAAGGGAGCGUAGGCGGACUGUUAAGUCAGCGGUAAAAGCCCGGGGCUCAACCCCGGCGAGCCGUUGAAACUGGCUGUCUUGAGAUGUCGAGAGGUAUGCGGAAUGCGCAGUGUAGCGGUGAAAUGCUUAGAUAUUGCGCAGAACUCCGAUUGCGAAGGCAGCAUACCGGCGGCGAUCUGACGCUGAGGCACGAAAGCGUGGGUAUCGAACAGGAUUAGAUACCCGUGUAGUC
rnacentral:rRNA from 1 species